GUGAGGAAUAUUGGUCAAUGGGCGGAAGCCUGAACCAGCCAAGUAGCGUGCAGGACGACGGCCCUAUGGGUUGUAAACUGCUUUUAUACGGGGAUAAAGUGCGCCACGUGUGGAGCAUUGCAGGUACCGUAUGAAUAAGGACCGGCUAAUUCCGUGCCAGCAGCCGCGGUAAUACGGAAGGUCCGGGCGUUAUCCGGAUUUAUUGGGUUUAAAGGGAGCGCAGGCCGGAAGCAAAGCGUGCCGUGAAAUGUAGAUGCUCAACAUCUGAAUUGCGGCGCGAACUGGUUUUCUUGAGUGCAUACGAGGUAGGCGGAAUUUGUGGUGUAGCGGUGAAAUGCUUAGAUAUCACGAAGAACUCCGAUUGCGAAGGCAGCUUUCCGGGGUACAUCUGACGCUGAAGCUCGAAAGUGCGGGAAUCAAACAGGAUUAGAAACCCCUGUAGUCC
rnacentral:rRNA from 1 species